CGCUAUCACUCCUACGGGAGGCAGCAGUAGGGAAUCUUCCACAAUGGGCGAAAGCCUGAUGGAGCAAUGCCGCGUGAGUGAAGAAGGUUUCGGAUCGUAAAACUCUGUUGUUGAAGAAGAACAUGCGUGAGAGUAACUGUUCACGUACUGACGGUAUUCAACCAGAAAGCCACGGCUAACUACGUGCCAGCAGCCGCGGUAAUACGUAGGUGGCAAGCGUUGUCCGGAUUUAUUGGGCGUAAAGAGAAUGUAGGCGGUUUAUUAAGUUUGAAGUGAAAGCCCCUCGGCUCAACCGAGGAAGUGCUUCGAAAACUGGUAAACUUGAGUGCAGAAGAGGAAAGUGGAACUCCAUGUGUAGCGGUGGAAUGCGUAGAUAUAUGGAAGAACACCAGUGGCGAAGGCGGCUUUCUGGUCUGUAACUGACGCUGAGAUUCGAAAGCAUGGGUAGCAAACAGGAUUAGAUACCCUGGUAG
rnacentral:rRNA from 1 species